CAGUCGCCGCGGGAAUACAGAGGGUGCGAGCGUUAAUCGGAAUUACUGGGCGUAAAGCGUGCGCAGGCGGUUUUGUAAGUCUGUCGUGAAAUCCCCGGGCUCAACCUGGGAAUGGCGAUGGAGACUGCAAGGCUAGAAUCUGGCAGAGGGGGGUAGAAUUCCACGUGUAGCAGUGAAAUGCGUAGAUAUGUGGAGGAACACCGAUGGCGAAGGCAGCCCCCUGGGCUAAGAUUGACGCUCAUGCACGAAAGCGUGGGGAGCAAACAGGAUUAGAUACCCCGGUAGUCCCUGUCUCUUAUAC
rnacentral:rRNA from 1 species